rfam:Nicotiana sylvestris Nsyl_contig6569, whole genome shotgun sequence.
AGGGAUGUGGCACAGCUUGGUAGCGUGUUUCCUUUGGGUAAAAAAUAUCACAGGUUCAAAUCCUGUCAUCCCUA